UNUGACUUGAGUGCAGAAGGGGAGAGUGGAAUUCCAUGUGUAGCGGUGAAAUGCGUAGAUAUAUGGAGGAACACCAGUGGCGAAAGCGGCUCUCUGGUCUGUCACUGACGCUGAGGCUCGAAAGCGUGGGUAGCGAACAGGAUUAGAUACCCUGGUAGUNCACGCCGUAAACGAUGAGUGCUAGGUGUUAGGCCCUUUCCGGGGCUUAGUGCCGGAGCUAACGCGAUAAGCACUCCGCCUGGGGAGUACGACCGCAAGGUUGAAACUCAAAGGAAUUGACGGGGGCCCGCACAAGCGGUGGAGCAUGUGGUUUAAUUCGGAGCAACGCGAAGAACCUUACCAGGUCUUGACAUCCCGAUGCUAUUCUUAGAGAUAGGAAGUUACUUCGGUACAUCGGAGACAGGUGGUGCAUGGUUGUCGUCAGCUCGUGUCGUGAGAUGUUGGGUUAAGUCUCGCAGCGAGCGCAGCCCUUAUUGUUAGUUGCCAUCAUUAAGUUGGGCACUCUAGCGAGACUGCCGGUAAUAAACCGGAGGAAGGUGGGGAUGACGUCAAAUCAUCAUGCCCCUUAUGACCUGGGCUACACACGUGCUACAAUGGUCGGUACAACGAGUUGCGAGCCGGUGACGGCAAGCUAAUCUCUGAAAGCCGAUCUCAGUUCGGAUUGGAGGCUGCAACUCGCCUCCAUGAAGUCGGAAUCGCUAGUAAUCGCGGAUCAGCACGCCGCGGUGAAUACGUUCCCGGGCCUUGUACACACCGCCCGUCACACCACGAGAGUUUGUAACACCCGAAGUCGGUGAGGUANCCUUUUAGGGGCCA
rnacentral:rRNA from 1 species